UUUUGAUGGCGACCGGCGCACGGGUGAGUAACACGUAUCCAACCUGCCGAUGACUCGGGGAUAGCCUUUCGAAAGAAAGAUUAAUACCCGAUGGCAUAGUUCUUCCGCAUGGUAGAACUAUUAAAGAAUUUCGGUCAUCGAUGGGGAUGCGUUCCAUUAGGUUGUUGGCGGGGUAACGGCCCACCAAGCCUUCGAUGGAUAGGGGUUCUGAGAGGAAGGUCCCCCACAUUGGAACUGAGACACGGUCCAA
rnacentral:rRNA from 1 species